GGCUUAAAACUCAACAUUCAGAAAACUAAGAUCAUGGCAUCUGGUUUCAUCACUUCAUGGCAAAUAAAUGGGGAAACAACAGAAACAGAGACUUUAUUUUUGUGGGGCUCCAGAAUCACUGCAGAUGGUGACUGUAGCCAUGAAAUUAAAAGACUCUUGCGCCUUGGAAGAAAAACUAUGACCAACCUAGACUGAGCGACUGAACUGAACUGUUGCAGCAGCGAUGGGAACACGCGAGAACUACUUUCUGUGCUGGUAUGGCGGAGCGUCCAUGAGAAGAUGUGUGUGAAGGGCCCACAGUGUGGGUGGCCGUAAUUAUUGACCUUGGUGGCUGGCAACCGGCUCUGGAUGACCCCCGUACCCUGUGGGGACUCAUGAAGGGGCCUCCCUCCUACAGCAGUGAACCGAGACCCCGAGUGUAACUCCAGGUGGGCCUCACUAAGGAGAACGCAGAUGUGUUGGUGGAUGUUUAAAUGGGGGAGUGUGGAGUCGGAUCUCUAGACUGGGUGCUCGGAGGUGAUGGCUCUCGGCGCAGCCUGGCUAGGAGAGAGGGGGAGGUGGUUUCUCAUCUGCAAAUUGGAUGGAGACAAGGCCCACCUCCCCAGGCUUGCUAAGAGGUGCACGACUUGGCCUCUAAAAUUCAAGCUGCGGCUUGCAGGAUCCACAAUGCACCAUGAGGGGUCUUUCGUUGCGUGCGUGGGGGCUUCUCUACUUGUGGUUCUCAGGCUCCAGAGCACGGGCUCAGCAGAUAUGUACAACCAUCACCACUAUCAGUGUGAGAACAUCUUCAACAUCUCAAAAAGAAACCUGGUACCCAUGAACUACCAGCCCUCCUAGCCUCCUCCCCCCACCUCCAGACACCACCAUCUGCUUUCUGUCCCCUGGAGUUCCCUAUCUGGACUUUCACAUGAGUGGAAUCGUGGAAUACGUGGCCUUUUGUAUCUUGCUGCUUUAGCUUUUCAAGGUUCAUCCAUGUCCUGGCC
ensembl:lncRNA